rnacentral:rRNA from 1 species
UACGAAGGGAGCUAGCGUUGUUCGGAAUUACUGGGCGUAAAGGGCGCGUAGGCGGGUUUCCAAGUCGGGGGUGAAAUUCCAGGGCUCAACCCUGGGACGGCCUUCGAUACUGGGAGCCUGGAGAUCGGGAGAGGUGAGUGGAAUUCCGAGUGUAGAGGUGAAAUUCGUAGAUAUUCGGAGGAACACCAGAAGCGAAGGCGGCUCACUGGCCCGGUACUGACGCUGAGGUGCGAAAGCGUGGGGAGCAAACAGG